rnacentral:rRNA from 1 species
GUGGGGAAUAUUGGGCAAUGGGCGAAAGCCUGACCCAGCAACGCCGCGUGAAGGAAGAAGGUUUUCGGAUUGUAAACUUCUGUCCUCAGGGAAGAAGAAAGUGACGGUACCUGAGGAGGAAGCCCCGGCUAACUACGUGCCAGCAGCCGCGGUAAUACGUAGGGGGCGAGCGUUGUCCGGAAUGACUGGGCGUAAAGGGCGCGUAGACGGCUGUCUAAGUCUGGAGUGAAAGUCCUGCUUUCAAGGUGGGAAUUGCUUUGGAGACUGGAUGGCUUGAGUGCGGAAGAGGUAAGUGGAAUUCCCAGUGUAGCGGUGAAAUGCGUAGAGAUUGGGAGGAACACCAGUGGCGAAGGCGACUUACUGGGCCGUAACUGACGUUGAUGCGCGAAAGCGUGGGGAGCGAACAGGAUUAGAAACCCCGGUAGUCC